rnacentral:ncRNA from 1 species
CGAUAGAUCGGUGAUGGAGUUCACCGCGAAGCGCCGCUCGUCUGAAGACGAAGCGACUGAUAACUCCUACGGCGAG